rnacentral:lncRNA from 1 species
AAUAUCUUCCAGAAGGGGAAAAAUACCUUUUUUCCCUUUAAUUUUAAAACCCAGCAGUUUUUAGAAACACCUGUCACUGCUUCCUUCUCUCCAAUCAGUGAGCAGAGCGGGUGUCUCUCUCAGUAGCAGCUGACAAUUUGAUGAUACUUCAUCAGUGUGGAACUCCUGCUGAAGUAGAUUGAGACAAAGGAAAUGCCUCUCACCAUUGGGACAAAUAAGAAAUCAGAUUUUCUAAGUUAUUGUUAGAAGUAUUAAUCUCACCAGCAAAAUGACAGUCCUCAGAAAAUAACACCAGGCUGGGAUUCAAGAGCCACAGUAAAAUGCUGGUCUUUCCAGAAACUUCCUGCAAACCUCAGGGCUCUUCAAGCCAAGGAACUGCUCUUUUCCUUGAUGGAGCUCUCCAGUGCCUUAACAGAAUUGCGCACAGCAGAUCUUCAAAUAAGGACAGCAAGCAAGCAACACAUUACCUGAAGCCACAGCCAAUUGCAGCACAGCAAAGAUGCUUUGCCAGCAGCUGUUAUCAGCAAACUUGGAAUUCUUGACCAAGAUCACUGAAAACCCAAUAUGAGAACAAAAGGCUACAAAUUAUUUCCAUAGUAUGUUAAAGUUGAGACAGUAGGCUGUAAAAUAAAGAGAAAUCUCUCUAUUAGAUGGAGCUGUCU